AGUUUUAUUUGUGGCGUCCAUAAAGGCUAGUUCGCUAUCGUAUCUUUCAAGUAUUCGUUUUUGUCGUCGCUCUUGAUGUAUAGUACUGUGCUCUUGAAAAAACGUUGCGUGACGCCUGUGAAACAGACUAGGUCUAGUAGUCCUCCGCCGAGAACAACUUGCAAGAAGUCUGGAUCUAAUGGCCGUCGACUUCCCUUGAUUCAAUUCGACCGUGACCUAAACGUGACGCGAAGGUUCAUGUUUUUGUUUGUCGGUGGAACUCUGCAUCGUCUUUAAUUUGGAGAACAAUAUUUGAUCCCGACAGAUUUCAAUCUCGUGAGGCUGAAAACUACAGGACAUCGUCUUUGAGAUGGCUAAAAAAGGAUCUGCUUCUCCACCUCCUGGUUUUGAUAAGGUGGAAGAAGAUACAUGGGAAGCUGUAAAGACUCCCCAGCGGAAAAAACCUGUGAAUGGUCAUACAGGUGUUUUUGCAUAUCACUUUGAUGACUGCAUGUGUGGAAUGGCUGGCUGGCCUUGUUAUAGGGAUGGCAGCAUAUGGAGCUGUUGUGGAGAGACUGACAAGUACUGCCACUGCACAAAGACAAAUCAUAAAGCUGCUAUAAACACACAGGAAAAGAAAAAUUAGUUGAAUCAUUCUCAGGGCCUGGAUUUCAAAAAUAAGAAAAACUGCUAUUCAUUUUUACUCUACAGUCUCCUUUCCAAGAGAAGAAAGGGGAAGCAUUACCCAUCAUCCCAAGGAACAGCUUUAGAGGAUACAACCAAACCAAGGGGUAAACAGCAUUACUUGAGUGGCCCUGACAAUGAGGUCAGAGGGAUGAGCUAUGAUGGCCUCUCACAGUGUUUACAUUUUACAACUUCUCCUCACAGUUAAAAUCAAUACAUUACGAAUAAUGAUA